CCAUUUUGCUGUACAAUACUUCCCACUUGCUGGUUUAGAUUUUGGAGAUGAAUCCCAUAUGGUUCGGCAUGUUGACUCUGUCGUUCAACAAGGUUUGGUUGGGGCAGAUUUGGGUCUGUGCUUUGCCAUUCUGAUAGACCAUUCAUUAGAGAGCUUUUGUCCAGCAUGGUGGUGCAACAGAGCUUCGUGGUUGCUUUCAGCACGGGUGGUACCAAACGGUAAUGUCGUUCGAAACCCUUGGAUGGCUUGAAAGAUUGUGGUAUUGAAGAGAGGGAGUGCAGAACGGUAAUUUGGUUUGCUAGCCCUGAACAGGGACGUUCAUCCUCUGUGGGGCACCAAUCGGAAGCUGCCGAUCUACUGGAGGUCUGGGAAUCAGUUGGCUCAAUUCUGUCUUACCAAACGGUAGGAUGAUUUGUCCGGUUAGGAAGGUGGUUCCCAGGUGAGUCAUGCCCGGCAUUACAGUUCGGCAAUUUGGAAGUUCGGAUGAGGAGACAACACCUUGUGGUGCCAAGAUGAAGAUUUCGGCAUGGGCCAUACCUCCUUCGGCAGCUUCUCUC
rnacentral:lncRNA from 1 species